GACGAACGCUGGCGGCGUGCUUAACACAUGCAAGUCGAGCGGUAAGGCCCUUUCGGGGGUACACGAGCGGCGAACGGGUGAGUAACACGUGGGUGACCUGCCCUCAGCUCUGGGAUAAGCCUGGGAAACCGGGUCUAAUACCGGAUAUGACUCCAUGACGCAUGUUGUGGGGUGGAAAGCCUUGUGCGGCUGAGGAUGGGCCCGCGGCCUAUCAGCUUGUUGGUGGGGUGAUGGCCUACCAAGGCGCGACGGGUAGCCGGCCUGAGAGGGCGACCGGCCACACUGGGACUGAGACACGGCCCAGACUCCUACGGGAGGCAGCAGUGGGGAAUCUUGCGCAAUGGGCGAAAGCCUGACGCAGCGACGCCGCGUGAGGGAUGACGGCCUGGUGUAAC
rnacentral:rRNA from 1 species